rnacentral:lncRNA from 1 species
CACAUCAGUUGAUCACCAAUAGAAAAAUGUCAUGUUACAUAGUUUAAUUCAAAAAGUACACUAAACAUCAAAAGAUUGAAUAGUUAAAUUAAAUCUUCAUCGCUCUCAUCUAUAAGACUGAAUCCUUGAUCACUUCAAAGAUAAAGUGAACCACCAAAAUGAUGAAUAACAUCCAAUGCAUCCAAAUCACCCGUCCCUUGAGUAUCGAGCUUGUCAUUAUUUUCGUUGUCAUCUAAAGCAACAUAAGAAAACAAUAUAUUAGCUAAAAUUAAAGACUAUAUCUAUGCUUUGAUAUAAUUGAUUAAUUACGUAAUAUAUUAAUGCACAUCCCCGAAGUAAUUCUAACAUAAUAAAUAUUACAACAAUGAGUUUAAAUAGUUAAACUUGAUUCCGAGGUGGUAUUUCUACCUCUUUCUAAUAGUUUGCCUUGUCAACGCACUCAUAAUCAAAUGGAUAAUACGAUCUCUUCUUAUAAUAAAGUCUAGAGUUGUACACGAAAAUUAGUUAUAUUAAGAAAACAUUAUCGAUAAACUAGGCAUUAAAAAUAAACUUGUGACAUAGUAAAGAGUUUUAGAUUAUAUACCUAUUCUUCAACCACAAAUUAUAUGUAACAUAGAAAAGAUCAUUGAGUCUUUGAUGCUCCAAUCCUUUUUGUUUUUUGUUUGUUUGUUUUUGUGUGUGUGUGUGUGAAUGUGUUCGAAGACACUUCAAUUCCUUCUACUUCCCAAAGAAGAAGCUGUUUAACCAAGAAUUCGAACAGCUAUCUUUUGCAAAGUUGGAGCAUUAUAUCCAUAAAAUUUCUACCAUUCAUCUACAUGUUAUCUAAAAGUUAGUUUUAAGCAUUAUAUUAACUAAACACAUAAAAAAAUAAUUAAAUUUAAAGCUCACCAGGUUGUAAAGUCUUUCUAGUAUUGCAUGCAGAUUGUCUGCCAAAACUUCCUUCACUAUCUCAAUACAUGAUCUCUUCCAUUGCUUUUGUCUUGUCAUCACA